rnacentral:lncRNA from 1 species
AUUAAAGGCUUGCUUUGCAGAGCUGCUGCUGAGUCCUGUGGCGAAGUCCACUACCUGCCUGCCUGAGAAACUGGCUCAAGUGGCACAGCGGGCCUGUGCUGGCUUGGUGCUGACCCCUGCCUUGUCCCAGGUCUCAGUGCACCCGAGGACAGGAUCCUGGGACCUUGCCCUGGCAAACUGAAGUGCCAGCAGCUGUGGGGCUACAUAUUCAGCCUUCUCUACUAAAGGAACGCUUUAGCAUGCAGCGUGCUGCAACAGGGACCUGGGGUCAGGUUUCCACGUGCAGGGGACCUGGCUCUGAAAGACCAGCGCAGGCCAGACCUAUUGUGUGCAUCUCUCCUGGAUUUACUUGUGCUGCCCACCCCUGCCUGCUUCCAUGGAUGCCCAGCAGCAGUCCUGCCUCUCGGCCACCACCUUCUCUGGGAAGCCUGCCUGCUGACUCAGACCCACGCCGUGCUUCACUGGCAGAUUCUCCCCCACCCUCUGCAACCUGGCCCGUGUGAAGGGGAAUAGUGAGUGAUUUCUUUCCCAUCACCUUAUCAGCUGAAAACUUUUAUUUGCACAGGAGCCACCCACCCUCCUUCUAGGAAAACACACACGCAUGUGACACCAGCCGAAAAGGGCCAGAGCCCUCAUUGCCUCCUUGGCUCCCGACCCAACCCCUGGAAACAGUCCGCUGCGCGAAUUAACUCCUGUGUGUUGUUCUUGGAGUGCAAUGAAGGCUGCUUCCUCCAGCUGUGCAAGCCCCUGGCCAUGCCUGGGGCAGCGCAGGGCAGCCUUGUCAUAACAGACAAACAAUAGCACUGCUGAGGCCGUUAUUAUUGCAGCCGCGGCCCAGGGAGCGCGCAGGUCGGGACAGGGACGUCUGCAGGUUCCAGGCAAGGGGCUCUUUGCUGUCUUGUUUUCCACCUUGCUGGCUGGCGGGCCGGGGCAGAGCGUGAUGCUCUGGCCCUGCCAAUGAAAAUAUUAGUUCCAGGAGCAAAAACACCGAGCAACCCAAAUAAUAAAGCGCAGACUAAGCAGCA